rnacentral:rRNA from 1 species
AAACCGUUUAGAGGUUAAGCCCGAUGAAACUGAAUAUCCGAAAUGAGAAAUUCAAUGCCAAUUCAAUGUGUUUAUUUAUAAUGCAGAGAUGGUAUGCACUUUUCUCAUAAAGUAGGACAUUGCAAUCUAUUAGUGCUAUAUCAUAAUUUUAAAUUAUGAUGGUUUAUUAAACGGUACAUUAUUGGUUUGUUUAUUCUAUCUGUGUUAUAUAUUUUUUAUGACAUAUGAAUAAAACUGGUGUUUUUGUGUGCCUAAUAAACAGCUAAUAGAAUUUUGAUAAAUAUUCAUGCCUGCAUAAAUGAAAAUGAAUGGAUCACGAUUUAGUUUUUUAUUGGUAGAUAAAAGAUUAUUUGCAGUGAUGGCAUGUAUAUGAUUAGCAAUGCGUUAGAUUUGGUAUACCUUCGGGACCCGUCUUGAAACACGGACCAAGAAGUCUAACAUGUGUGCGAGUCAUUGGGUAUAUGUUGAAACCUAAAGGCGAAAUUAAAAUAACUAUUUUUUAAUAAUGGGAUCACAAAUGAUAAAUUUUUGAAAAAAAAUUAUUAUUUCACAAUCCCGGGGCGUUCUAUAUUAAACAUGUUUUAAGCAAUUAAAUCCUCUGUUUAAGAGCGUACCUUGAGCAUACAUGCUGU